rnacentral:rRNA from 1 species
CCUACGGGUGGCAGCAGUGAGGAAUAUUGGUCAAUGGACGAGAGUCUGAACCAGCAAAGUAGCGUGAAGGAUGACUGCCCUAUGGGUUGUAAACUUCUUUUAUAUGGGAAUAAAAUGUUCCACGUGUGGGAUUUUGUAUGUACCAUAUGAAUAAGGAUCGGCUAACUCCGUGCCAGCAGCCGCGGUAAUACGGAGGAUCCGAGCGUUAUCCGGAUUUAUUGGGUUUAAAGGGAGCGUAGGGGGAUUGUUAAGUCAGUUGUGAAAGUUUGCGGCUCAACCGUAAAAUUGCAGUUGAAACUGGCAGUCUUGAGUACAGUAGAGGUGGGCGGAAUUCGUGGUGUAGCGGUGAAAUGCUUAGAUAUCACGAAGAACUCCGAUUGCGAAGGCAGUUCACUGGACUGCAACUGACACUGAGGCUCGAAAGUGUGGGUAUCAAACAGGAUUAGAUACCCUUGUAGUC